rnacentral:rRNA from 1 species
UACGAAGGGGGCAAGCGUUAUUCGGAUUCACUGGGCGUAAAGGGUGCGCAGGCGGCCAAGUGUGUGAGGCGUGAAAGCCCGGGGCUUAACCCCGGAAUUGCACCUCAAACUACAUGGCUAGAGCAUUGGAGAGGGUAGCAGAAUUCACAGUGUAGCAGUGAAAUGCGUAGAUAUCGUGAGGAAUACCAGAGGCGAAGGCGGCUACCUGGACAAUUGCUGACGCUCAGGCACGAAAGCGUGGGGAGCAAAAGGG